GGAUCAUUACCGAGUACUAUAACUCAUAACCCUUUGUGAACCUUUAUACCUGUUGCUUCGGCGGCGCGCCUCCCGGGGCGUGCCCGCCGGUAUCAUCAGAAUCUCUGUUCGAACCCGACGAUAUUUAUGAGUGUUCUAAGCGAACUGUUAAAACUUUCAACAACGGAUCUCUUGGCUCCAGCAUCGAUGAAGAACGCAGCGAAACGCGAUAUGUAAUGUGAAUUGCAGAAUUCAGUGAAUCAUCGAAUCUUUGAACGCACAUGGCGCCUUCCAGUAUCCUGGGAGGCAUGCCUGUCCGAGCGUCGUUUCAACCCUCGAGCCCCCGUGGCCCGGCGUUGGGGAUCUGCCCAGGCAGUCCCCGAAAACCAGUGGCGGACCCGUUACAGGCCCUUCCCUUGCGUAGUAGCUUUCGCCUCGCAUCGGGAGCCGGCGGGCUUCCAGCCUCUAACCCCCAUCAAGUCCGCCCCGGCGGCACCAAGGUGACCUCGGAUCA
rnacentral:rRNA from 1 species